rnacentral:tRNA from 1 species
GAAAAUCCGUCGACUUUAGAAAUCGUGAGGGUUCAAGUCCCUCUAUCCCCCAACAAAAAGGG